rnacentral:rRNA from 1 species
GAUGAACGCUAGCUACAGGCUUAACACAUGCAAGUCGCGGGGCAGCAUGAAUUUAGCUUGCUAAAUUUGAUGGCGACCGGCGCACGGGUGAGUAACGCGUAUCCAACCUUCCCCUGUCCACGGGAUAGCCCGUCGAAAGGCGGAUUAAUACCGUAUGAGGUCACAUGCGGGCAUCUAAUUGUGACGAAAGGUUUGGCGGACAGGGAUGGGGAUGCGUCCGAUUAGGUAGUCGGCGGGGUAACGGCCCACCGAGCCGACGAUCGGUAGGGGUUCUGAGAGGAAGGUCCCCCACAUUGGAACUGAGACACGGUCCAAACUCCUACGGGAGGCAGCAGCGAGGAAUAUUGGUCAAUGGGCAGAGCCUGAACCAGCCAAGUAGCGUGCGGGGACGAAGGCCCUAUGGGUUGUAAACCGCUUUUACGGGGGGAUAAAGUGAGUGACGUGUCAUUCAUUGCAGGUACCCGCGAAUAAGGACCGGCUAAUUCCGUG